ACAUGCAAGUCGAACGUGAAAGCUCCUUCGGGAGUGAGUAGAGUGGCGAACGGGUGAGUAACGCGUAGGAAUCUACCCAAGAGUGGGGGACAACCCGGAGAAAUCCGGGCUAAUACCGCAUAUGCCCUACGGGGUAAAGUGGGGGACCUUUCGGGGCCUCAUGCUUUUGGAUGAGCCUGCGUCGGAUUAGCUUGUUGGUGAGGUAAUGGCUCACCAAGGCGACGAUCCGUAGCUGGUCUGAGAGGAUGACCAGUCACACUGGGACUGAGACACGGCCCAGACUCCUACGGGAGGCAGCAGUGGGGAAUAUUGGACAAUGGGGGCAACCCUGAUCCAGCCAUGCCGCGUGUGUGAAGAAAGCCUUCGGGUUGUAAAGCACUUUCAGUAGGGAAGAAAAGCACAAGGUUAAUACCCUUGUGUAUUGACGGUACCUACAUAAGAAGCACCGGCUAAUUCCGUGCCAGCAGCCCGCGGUAAUACCGAAGGUGCAAGCGUUAAUCGGAAUUACUGGGCGUAAA
rnacentral:rRNA from 2 species